UAUCAUUCAUAAGUCACAUGAAACAAAAUUGUCAUUCAUCUAAAACAACCAAAAUCCUUAUAUGCAAAUGCCAUCAAAAGGACUUUUCCAAGGCUUGUAAUGAGGCUGGGCUAACAAGAAGAAUUGGUUUUUCUGGAAUGCAAAGUCCUUGAGUUAAGAGAGCUAUCAUAUUAUUCAACAUUUAAGCACAACUCUCUUCCUCACCAGUCUCACUUAUUCCCAACUCUUUCCCUUUUCUUUUUCAUAGAGCUCAUCUUCAUCCUUUUUCUUCUUUUCUUUUCUUUUCUCAUGUAUUUUUCUUUCACAACAUUUGAGCUCAAUGCUUUUUCAAUUGCCUUUCAAUUUCCCCCAUGCAACCCCAAACUUGAACCUUUUCAUCACAUACAAUUAAGCUUAUCCCAACUCAAGGUAAAGAAUUUCAAGACAAGGGUUCACAUCGUGUUUAAGGCUAAGGUUCAAAAAGGGUAUAAUAUUUUCAAGUACUUUGGGUGAAAAUUUGGCUAGAGAAGGGUUUUCAAAAAUGGCCUUGAUCAUAUGACAUUCACAUGCAAUUCAAUCAAUCAUCAAGAUUAAGGCAAUAUUAUUCAUGUUUUCCAGUGAACAAUACAUACAACAAUGAAAACUCUGGAGCUCAAUACCUCACACAACAUGCUUUCUCACACAAUAUUCAUUCAUACACCCUGCUUAGCAUCAUAACCACAAUCAUAAUACAUCACCCAUCUGUUUCACAAAAUAUCAACAUGCAAUGCAAC
rnacentral:lncRNA from 1 species